AUUAAUGGUUAGAGAGAGAGAGAGAGAGAGAGAGAGAGAGAGAGAGAGAGAGAGGAAUCAAACUAAGACAGAUACAAGCAGAAAGCAAAAAGCAACAGGAGGAGUAAUUCGUUAGCAAAAGAAAGAGACGGCAUGAAUAUAAAAUCAGCGAUUAUGUUAACAAAGCCACAACAGAGAGCGCUUGAUCUCCUUAAACUGCGCCGUUUACGUGUUCUUUAUUCUCCUUCUUCUGCUGCUGCUGUUGACAAUCUAAAUUCUUCGCCUUCCUCUUUUAAUUCCAUCAUUCACUUUCGAUUCGCCUGUUGAAUUUCUCCAAAUUUCUUUCUAAGAUUUUUCCUAUUUAUUUUUCAAUAAUCCGAAAGCCGGUUGAUCCAUUGAUUCCUUCUUUUUUUUAUAUAUAUAUAUAUAUAUUUUAUAUUGUGUCUCUAAUGCUUUCUUGAUUACUGUGUGUGAUCUCAUCUCUGCUUGUAUUUGGCUUAUAUAUGAUGAUUUGAAAAGUUCUGUUAUACCUUUAAUGAAAAUUUUAGGUUGAAAAUUUUUAUGGCUAAAAGAUGGGUAUGCGUUAAUUGAUUGAUUACAAUCUGGGUUUUCAAUAAAUGUUGGUUUGGGUUAUUUCACAAUUGAUUUUGGCGAAGCAGUGUUUUCUUAUGAUCGAAGGGUGAUUGUGCUUUGCUGCUAAGGUGAAUUUUUUGAACUGCAUAUAGAAUACCCAUGAGAGUUUAGACUUUAGUAUGUUAGUGUUGAAUAGUGCUUUUCAAUUUGGAUCCUCUAUAUUGAAAUUAAUGGUGGUCAGUUGUUUUAUCUGGUGCAGGGUGCUCCAUUAUUUUUCAAUUAAUCACCUUUCAGCAUUUCAUUGGAUUGAUGUGCAAUGCAGAGAUCACGGAGAGCUCUUCUUCAAAGAAGAGCUUUUGAGAAGGCUUUCAGUGGAAGAACUCAGUUAUUCAAGUUUUCACUUUCUUUGUUUCUUGUUUUAUGGGGGCUGUUCUUUCUUCUGAGUUUAUGGAUCAGUCGCAGUGAUGGUUAUAGAUAUGAAUCUGCAGUACUUGAAGCCGGCAUAUCUACUUGCAAUGGAGAAAAUUUGGGAGGUUGUAAACCUUCUGAGUCACUGGAAACAAAAUUUUUAAAUAAAAUUUGUUCUGUCUAUUCAGAUGAAAGUUUGUCUACAGAUAGGGAUGAAAAUAGGGUUUCCAAUGAUGAGUUACUUGGCAGUGAAGUAAACACAAAUUAUGCCUUGGUUAUGGAGCAACCUGAGGCAAACUCUGUUUCAGAUGUAAAAUUUGAAACUAAUGGUCCUAAGAUUGACAGACUAUCUCAUUCUGUACCUUUGGGUCUUGACGAAUUCAAAAGCAGAGCAUUCAGCUCUAAAAGUAAAUCAGGAACUGCUCAAGCUGGAGGUGUAAUCCAUAGAUUAGAGCCUGGGGGUAAAGAAUACAAUUAUGCUUCAGCAUCCAAGGGAGCGAAGGUACUGGCUUUUAAUAAGGAAGCAAAGGGGGCCUCUAAUGUCUUAGGCAAAGACAAGGACAAAUACCUUCGAAACCCAUGCUCUGCUGAAGAGAAAUUUGUUGUAAUAGAACUUUCAGAAGAAACAUUAGUAGACACAAUUGAAAUAGCAAAUUUUGAGCACUACUCUUCUAAUUUAAAGGAUUUUGAGCUUCUUGGCAGUUUAGUUUAUCCAACAGACUCAUGGGUCAGGCUCGGCAAUUUUACAGCUGCUAAUGUUAAGCAUUCACAGAGGUUUACCCUUCAGGAGCCGCAGUGGGUGAGAUAUCUGAAGCUGAAUCUUCUUAGCCAUUAUGGUUCAGAGUUUUAUUGUACUCUUAGUAUUGUUGAAGUGUAUGGAGUUGAUGCAGUUGAGCGCAUGCUGGAAGAUUUGAUCUCCGUUGAAAACAAAAUCAUAUAUCAAGAGGGAACUGGUGAGCAGAAACCAUCACCAUCUCUAUCAGAGUCUUCUCGUGUUGAUGAUUAUGAUCAAGAACUGAGGGCUGGUUCUGAAUCUGGCACUUCAGUUGAAAACUCAAACAUGAGGCUUGAAGUAACAAAAAAAAAUUGCCAGAUCAUGUGGAAGAAAUUCAUCACCAACAAGUAGGCAGAGUUCCUGGGGACAGUGUUCUUAAAAUAUUAAUGCAGAAAGUUCAUUCUGUGGACUUAAGUAUAUCUGUUUUGGAACGGUAUCUGGAGGAGGUGAAUUUCAGAUAUGGCAAUAUUUUUAAAGAAUUUGACAAAGAAUUAGGAGAGAAAGAUAUACAUUUAGAGAAAAUCAUAUCUGACAUAAAGAAUCUCCGUGACAGCCAGGAUAUCAUAGCUAAAGAUGUUAACAAUCUUCUUUCUUGGAAAUCCCUUGUUUCUACACAGAUGGACAAUCUCCUCAGGGAUAAUCUUGCUCUCAGGUUAAUGGUUGAACGUGUUCAAGAGAAUCAAAUAUCUAUGGAAAAUAAGGGUAUCACAGUGGUUUUCAUUUGCUUAAUUUUUGGAUUUAUAGCUUUUGCGAGGCUAUUGGUAGAUAUAGUGCUGAGUGUUUACCGGGCAUAUAUUGUUCAAAGAACAGAGGAGUCCAGGAAAUUUUGUUGGAUGAGCUCUUCCUGGCUCUUUCUACUGUUCAACUGUUGCAUUAUUAUAUUAAUAUUGUCAUUAUAAUCUUGUGACAUGGAAGUGUUAUUUGUCUUC